GACGAACGCUGGCGGCGUGCCUAAUACAUGCAAGUAGGACGCAGUUGCGAACGGGUGAGUAACGCGUAGGUAACUACCUAUUAGAGGGGGAUAACUAUUGGAAACGAUAGCUAAUACCGCAUACUAGUAGAUGGACCUGCGUUGUAUUAGCUAGGAGGUAGGGUAAUGGCCUACCUAGGCAACGAUACAUAGCCGACCCGGGGGGGGGGACGGCCAAACCGGGAACGGGACACGGCCCCGACCCCUACGGGGGGCAGCAGUAGGGGAACUUUGGGCAGUGGGGGAACCCUGACCGAGCAACGCCGCGGGAGUGAAGAAGGUUUUCGGAUCGUAAAGCUCUGUUGUUAAGGAAGCGGUACUUAACCAGAAAGGGACGGCUAACUACGUGCCAGCAGCCGCGGUAAUAC
rnacentral:rRNA from 1 species